rnacentral:rRNA from 1 species
UACGAAGGGGGCGCGAGCGUUGCUCGGAAUCACUGGGCGUAAAGCGUACGCAGGCGGGUCGGUAAGUCCGUUGUGAAAUCCCAGGGCUCAACCCUGGAACCGCGAUGGAGACUGUCGAUCUUGAGUUCGGCAGGGGAGACUGGAAUUCCUGGUGUAGCGGUGAAAUGCGCAGAUAUCAGGAGGAACACCGGUGGCGAAGGCGGGUCUCUGGGACGGUACUGACGCUGAGACGCGAAAGCGUGGGGAGCGAACAGG